CUGGACCCGGGAGCUGGGAAUAGGGCCCUGGCCCGACCGACUCACCUACCCCUAGGGACACCCUCCAUGAUACUGUAGCGCCAGGGCAAGCGACACAGGCGCUGCCCAAGUGCCCCGCCACCUGGUUUCAAGUGAUUGUCUGAGACUCUCAGCUACAAGGAAAAACUACCAUGGCUGCUACUCUGAAACCUGUCUUCUGACAGUGGCCAAUG